rnacentral:rRNA from 1 species
GACGAACGCUGGCGGCGUGCUUAAUACAUGCAAGUCGAACGGAAAGGCCCUGCUUUUGUGGGGUGCUCGAGUGGCGAACGGGUGAGUAACACGUGAGUAACCUGCCCUUGACUUUGGGAAAACUUCAGGAAACUGGGGCUAAUACCGGAUAGGAGCUCCUGCUGCAUGGUGGGGGUUGGAAAGUUUCGGCGGUUGGGGAUGGACUCGCGGCUUAUCAGCUUGUUGGUGGGGUAGUGGCUUACCAAGGCUUUGACGGGUAGCCGGCCUGAGAGGGUGACCGGCCACAUUGGGACUGAGAUACGGCCCAGACUCCUACGGGAGGCAGCAGUGGGGAAUAUUGCACAAUGGGCGGAAGCCUGAUGCAGCAACGCCGCGUGCGGGAUGACGGCCUUCGGGUUGUAAACCGCUUUCGCCUGUGACGAAGCGUGAGUGACGGUAAUGGGUAAAGAAGCACCGGCUAACUACGUG